rnacentral:misc_RNA from 1 species
UGAUGAUAUUCGAGGUGGGAGCAGCGUUGGAGGAUAUUAAGUGGCAGGCUCCGGUUUACUGCUUCGACAAAAAGGCUGAAGAAAGCAGUGCUGUGGAGACGACAACAUUGGGAGGCUUAACCGAGUCUUGGAUGAAGAUGAAGAAUGCUUCAAUCGCAGCUCUCCCCGGCCUCUCCUCAGCUGCCUGAAUAAACCGAGAGUUUGCAGUUCUAUGAUCUGCUUUUGUAAUAAGUCA